ACGUAGGGUGCAAGCGUUAAUCGGAAUUACUGGGCGUAAAGCGUGCGCAGGCGGUCUUGUAAGACAGAGGUGAAAGCCCUGGGCUCAACCUGGGAAUGGCAUUGGAAACUGGCGACCUAGAGUGCGGUAGAGGGUAGUGGAAUUCCCGGUGUAGCAGUGAAAUGCGUAGAGAUCGGGAGGAACAUCCGUGGCGAAGGCGACUACCUGGACCAGCACUGACACUGAGGCACGAAAGCGUGGGGAGCAAACAGGA
rnacentral:rRNA from 1 species